GAUGAAGAACGCAUCGAAAUGCGAUAAGUAAUGUGAAUUGCAGAAUUCAGUGAAUCAUCGAAUCUUUGAACGCACAUUGCGCCCGCCAGUAUUCUGGCGGGCAUGCCUGUUCGAGCGUCAUUUCAACCAUCAAGCCCCCGGCUUGUGUUGGGGACCUGCGGCUGCCGCAGGCCCUGAAAAGCAGUGGCGGGCUCGCUGUCACACCGAGCGUAGUAGCAUACAUCUCGCUCUGGGCGUGCUGCGGGUUCCGGCCGUUAAACCACCUUCAUAACCCAAGGUUGACCUCGGAUCAGGUAGGAAGACCCGCUGAACUUAAGCAUAUCAAUAAGCGGAGGA
rnacentral:misc_RNA from 1 species